UCGUCGCGCGGUGCCGAAUAAGAACCACGGCAGUUUGUCGCCGCGCACCGCCAAACGCGAACGCCGCGCCACCGCUAGCCACCGUCUGCGCUGUAUAGGCCCAUUCGUCGAGACUAUCUUCGCGUAAAAAGAUACGAUACGGACGUCACGCGAACGUCGCACUCGCGUUCCUUUAUUCCCGACCUCGCACCGUCACUAAUCCCGACCGAUGAUCCGUUGAACUGACCAUCGUCAUAUCUGAAGACCGCUCUCACUCGUCGCCUCGUCCUUUAAUCCCGAACGCCAACCUUCAUAUUAUCCCACAACAAGACCGGCCGACCUCGCGUAACCAUGAACCCGACCGCCGGCAUGCCCACCGCACUCGAGGGCACCGCGAUGUACAGGUACGAGAUGUGCUGGAACAUAUCGGCCGGCAGCUUUCCGUUAUGUGUCAACAGCACUGAGUUUAAUGACUUCAACGAAACCGACGACGAGAUCCUCCAGGUGCAGCGCAUCGUUUCGCUGGCCGUGCCCAUACUGUUCGGCAUCAUCGUGGUGGUCGGGCUGCUGGGCAACCUGCUCGUGGUGAUCGUGGUGAUGGCCAACCAGCAGAUGCGGAGCACCACCAACCUGCUGAUCAUCAACCUGGCGCUGGCCGACCUGCUGUUCAUCGUGUUCUGCGUGCCGUUCACCGCCGUCGAUUACAUGCUGCCGUACUGGCCGUUCGGCGACGUCUGGUGCAAAAUGGUCCAGUACCUGAUCGUGGUCACCGCGUACGCGAGCGUCUACACGCUGGUGCUCAUGUCGCUGGAUCGGUUCCUGGCCGUCGUCCACCCGAUCGCCUCCAUAUACGUGCGCACCGAGCGCAACGCGUCCUCCGCCAUACUCGUCACGUGGGUGCUGAUCGUGCUGCUCGCGCUACCGGUGCUCGCCAGACACGGCGAGGUCACGUACACGUUCUCCAGCACCCAGCACACGGCGUGCAUAUUCCUCGACCGCGACCAGAAGACCCGACCGGACGGUUACAACAAGCCGGCGUACCAGAUAUUCUUCUUUCUCACGUCGUACGCGAUACCACUGGCAAUCAUAUGCAUUCUCUACGUGCUGAUGCUGAUGAGACUGUGGAAAGGAGUGAACCCUGGCGGGCAGCCACCUUCGGCUGAGAGUCGGAGAGGCAAGAAGCGAGUAACCCGAAUGGUAGUCGUCGUGGUCGCCAUAUUCGCUUUCUGCUGGUUUCCGAUACAGGUUAUAUUGGUGCUAAAAAGCAUUAAUUAUUAUGAAAUCACGGCUAUCAGUGUUAUCGUUCAGAUAGUCAGCCAUUGUCUUGCGUACACCAACUCAUGUCUGAAUCCAAUUUUAUACGCGUUCUUGUCAGAGAAUUUCCGGAAAGCAUUCAGAAAAGUGAUAAUUCCAUGGAGACCGGAAGUGAAUGUCCAAGGAAGAUUUGCAAAUGGAGAUGCCCGGUCGAUGGCUGUCACUAGGACGACUAGGACGACUAACAACGACAUACUUUGAAAUACUGGAAAGAAAACAUCAAAAUAAAACUAAGAAUACAACAUUUAAGAUACGAGUGAUAUCUUACCGGCUUCGCAGACUAACAACUUCAGUAAUGAUUACUAUCCGACUUGUAUUGUCUUCAUGAUUCGCGUGAUACACGAGAACGUAUAAAAAACACGGAGCUCAAUACAGAAUGAAAACGAAUAUUGCAUGUUACUAUACAUAAAUGUAGUCAAAAUACAAUACUAUAAUGUUAUAGAUGUUAAAUAAAUAUGUUAAAAAG